rnacentral:rRNA from 1 species
GAUGAACGCUGGCGGCGUGCUUAACACAUGCAAGUCGAACGGAAAGGCUCCUGCUUGCAGGGGUACUCGAGUGGCGAACGGGUGAGUAACACGUGGGUGAUCUGCCCUGCACUUCGGGAUAAGCCUGGGAAACUGGGUCUAAUACCGGAUAGGACGAUGGUUUGGAUGCCAUUGUGGAAAGUUUUUUCGGUGUGGGAUGAGCGCGCGGCCUAUCAGCUUGUUGGUGGGGUAGUGGCCUACCAAGGCGUCGACGGGUAGCCGGCCUGAGAGGGUGUACGGCCACAUUGGGACUGAGAUACGGCCCAGACUCCUACGGGAGGCAGCAGUGGGGAAUAUUGCACAAUGGGCGCAAGCCUGAUGCAGCGACGCCGCGUGGGGGAUGACGGCCUUCGGGUUGUAAACUCCUUUCGCUAGGGACGAAGCGCAAGUGACGUUACCUGGAGAAGAAGCACCGGCUAACUACGUG